rnacentral:rRNA from 1 species
UAGUCUCAGUUCGGAUUGUAGGCUGAAACUCGCCUACAUGAAGCUGGAGUUGCUAGUAAUCGCGAAUCAGCAUGUCGCGGUGAAUACGUUCCCGGGCCCUUGUACACACCGCCCGUCACACCAUGAGAGUUGGCAAUACCCAACGUACGUGAUCUAACCCGCAAGGGAGGAAGCGUCCUAAGGUAGGGUCAGCGAUUGGGGUGAAGUCGUAACAAGGUACC